rnacentral:misc_RNA from 1 species
UCAACUUUGUCAAAGCAAUAUUUUUCAUGUAAGCAUAAGACUGGCCUUCCUCCAUUCCCGAAGUAAGAAGAGAGUAGUCUACUAAUAUCACAACAUCAUAUAGGAUGUCCCGGAUAAGGUUUUCAUCUUCAGAUUUCAGGAGGGACAUGACUGGCAGCAUUGGCUCCAGCAGCAUCAUCAUCAGUAUCUCGAAGAAGGCAUAAUUCCGGAAUACAGUCACCGAACUAACCGCCCAG